rnacentral:rRNA from 1 species
UACGUAGGGUGCAAGCGUUGUCCGGAAUUAUUGGGCGUAAAGAGCGCGUAGGCGGUCCGGUAAGUCAGCUGUGAAAGUCAAGGGCUCAACCCUUGAAAGCCGGCUGAUACUGCCGGACUAGAGUCCGGAAGAGGCGAGUGGAAUUCCCGGUGUAGCGGUGAAAUGCGUAGAUAUUGGGAGGAACACCAGUGGCGAAGGCGGCUCACUGGACCGGAACUGACGCUGAGGCGCGAAAGCGUGGGGAGCAAACAGG